rnacentral:rRNA from 1 species
UACGGGGGGAGCAAGCGUUGUUCGGAUUUACUGGGCGUAAAGGGCGCGUAGGCGGCCUGUGCAAGUCAGUUGUGAAAUCUCCGAGCUUAACUCGGAACGGUCAACUGAUACUGCUCGGCUAGAGUGCGGAAGGGGCAACUGGAAUUCUUGGUGUAGCGGUGAAAUGCUUAGAUAUGACAUAGAACACCCAUUGCGAAGGCAGCUAACUACGCGAUUAUUGACGCUGAUGCACGAAAGCGUGGGGAUCAAACAGG